CUGCUGCUGCUGCUGCUGCUGCUGCUGCUCCUGACUCCUGACUGCCAGAUGAGUGCUCGGAGGGGUGUUAAGGGACGAGCUCACGGAUCGAUGUCUCACUCUGCUCAGCCCAGCUGUAGCUGUUGUCUCUCACACAGAGAGGCUUUGUCUGAGCUCUGCAGAAAAACAGCCCGUAACAAGUGUUUACCGUCUGCCGCCUCAGGCCUGAGCCGGGGCCUGCGCUCGCUGCACGGUAGCCGCUGUGUGCGAAGGCAUCGGAGCCUCUGUGAGGAACCUGGAAAUACUCAGACAGAGCUGGGUUCAAAACAUCUGUCAGCACUCAGACGACGGUGGUGAGGAGGAGAGAGUGCAGAGGGCCUGGUAUGUGGAAGGCCCGGCCCAGGAAUCAGUGGAGCCGCUCGGCUCGGCACGUCUGCCUUGUUUAUUUGCCCUGACCCCGCGUUCCCCGCGAGGUUAAGGGACCUGCCGCAGUGAAAGGAGCCAUUGUCCUGCAGGAAAAAUCUGGUACAAAUAUUUACCAAUGGGGGGAGGAUGCAAAGACGGGGCUCGCAGCCAGCCAGACGAGCUGUAAAAAACGGCCAGAGUGCAUUUUUGAAUAAUCCACUUCCACACCCUUUUCCUUUUACCUAAGGUUACAAAAAUCUGCCCUCACGUCCCCAUUACUCACAUCACACUGCAGGGACUGUUUUAACAUCAACAUCGUAAUACAGUCCUGAUGAAGUUGGUACACUGCCUUAAACGUGUUUUAGCCGUGAACUUUAAUUUAAUAACCAAAAAAAAAAAAGAAAAAUUACAUUUUUCCAUUUACAGACUUGACUGAUUUUAUUGAACAUGGAAGAAUAUAGAGAUUGAUGCAGCCAGAAUGAAAAUGCAAAGUUGUACAAAAGUCGUAAAAAUAACUAUUUUUACAGCUCUUAACGGUUAACGGUUUAUAGUCUUCACUUUGGUUGCGAAAUGAACGUCUAACCGGGGGCUGUGUCGUACAGGUCGGAUGGGGAGAAAAUCUGUAACAAUAAACCGGUUCAUCACAGGAGAUCUAAAUAUUUGUGGAAGCAGAAUUGAUCAAAGGUUAUGAGCAAAAAAAAA